UCGGGAUAAGCCUGGGAAACUGGGUCUAAUACUGGAUAGGACCAUCGUUUAGUGUCGGUGGUGGAAAGGUUUUUUUCGGUGGAGGAUGAGCUCGCGGCCUAUCAGCUUGUUGGUGGGGUAAUGGCCUACCAAGGCGACGACGGGUAGCCGGCCUGAGAGGGUGGACGGCCACAUUGGGACUGAGAUACGGCCCAG
rnacentral:rRNA from 1 species